GAACUACGACUUACUUAAUCAAUACUCUGAUCAAGUCAUUGAUCAGCAGCGUCAUCAAAGUGAUCAAGUUGCUGUUGGACAGUUGGAGCCACUUUGCAUCAGCAGCAUCACGCUCCAGUGCUCUGAGACACUUUAUAGUCCUGACAGCUGAACACUGGAUGACUGACAGCUGUCAAUCAACACCAACAUGACUCUGAUCUCCGUCCUCAUCUGGACUCUGCUCUGCUGCUGCUUCACAGAGUCCAGAAUCCAGGUCACAGUGACUCAACCUGAAGCAGUCACAUCUGCUCCAGGAGGCUCCACCACCAUCACAUGUACAACCAGUCACAAUGUUUACCAUGAUUCAUCAGGUUUUGGAUUAUCCUGGUACCAACAGAGAGACGGAGAAACUCCUAAACUGCUCAUUUAUCUUGCGAGCAGCCGAGCAUCAGGGACCCCAAACCGUUUUUCAGGCAGUGGAUCAAACUCUGACUUCAGUCUGACCAUCAGUGGAGUCCAGGCUGAAGAUGCUGCAGUUUAUUACAGUCUGGGUGUUUUUGAUAGCAGCAAGUACGAGCUGCUCACACAGUGAAAAAGCAUCGUACAAAAACCUCCCUCAGUCAGACUGAACAGGAACUGAAGUUUCUGCUGCAGCUGGAAGCUUCUGCACAAACUCAAAGA